CCUACGGGAGGCUGCAGUGGGGAAUAUUGGACAAUGGGCGAAAGCCUGAUCCAGCCAUGCCGCGUGUGUGAAGAAGGCCUUCGGGUUGUAAAGCACUUUCAGUGGGGAAGAAAGCCUGGGGGCUAAUACCCUCGAGGAAGGACAUCACCCACAGAAGAAGCACCGGCUAACUCCGUGCCAGCAGCCGCGGUAAUACGGAGGGUGCGAGCGUUAAUCGGAAUUACUGGGCGUAAAGCGCGCGUAGGCGGUCUGAUAAGCCGGUUGUGAAAGCCCCGGGCUCAACCUGGGAACGGCAUCCGGAACUGUCAGGCUAGAGUGCAGGAGAGGAAGGUAGAAUUCCCGGUGUAGCGGUGAAAUGCGUAGAGAUCGGGAGGAAUACCAGUGGCGAAGGCGGCCUUCUGGACUGACACUGACGCUGAGGUGCGAAAGCGUGGGUAGCAAACAGGAUUAGAUACCCCAGAGUC
rnacentral:rRNA from 1 species